AAGAGACGUUGCCCUUCGGGGUAUACCUCCCACCCUUUGUUUAUUAUACCUUUGUUGCUUUGGCGGGCCCGUCCUCGGACCACCGGCUUCUGCUGGUCAGUGCCCGCCAGGGGACCUAAAACUCUGUUUGUUAAUAUUGUCUGAGUACUAUAUAAUAGUUA
rnacentral:misc_RNA from 1 species